UACGUAGGGGGCAAGCGUUGUCCGGAUUUAUUGGGCGUAAAGAGCGUGUAGGCGGUCAGGUAGGUCCGUUGUGAAAACUCGAGGCUCAACCUCGAGACGCCGAUGGAAACCAUCUGACUAGAGUCCGGAAGAGGAGAGUGGAAUUCCUGGUGUAGCGGUGAAAUGCGCAGAUAUCAGGAAGAACACCCGUGGCUAAGGCGGCUCUCUAGUACGGUACUGACGCUCAUGCACGAAAGCGUGGGGAGCAAACAGG
rnacentral:rRNA from 1 species